rnacentral:rRNA from 1 species
CCUACGGGUGGCAGCAGUGGGGAAUAUUGCACAAUGGGCGCAAGCCUGAUGCAGCCAUGCCGCGUGUGUGAAGAAGGCCUUCGGGUUGUAAAGCACUUUCAGCGGGGAGGAAGGCGUUAAGGUUAAUAACCUUGGCGAUUGACGUUACCCGCAGAAGAAGCACCGGCUAACUCCGUGCCAGCAGCCGCGGUAAUACGGAGGGUGCAAGCGUUAAUCGGAAUUACUGGGCGUAAAGCGCACGCAGGCGGUCUGUCAAGUCGGAUGUGAAAUCCCCGGGCUCAACCUGGGAACUGCAUUCGAAACUGGCAGGCUAGAGUCUUGUAGAGGGGGGUAGAAUUCCAGGUGUAGCGGUGAAAUGCGUAGAGAUCUGGAGGAAUACCGGUGGCGAAGGCGGCCCCCUGGACAAAGACUGACGCUCAGGUGCGAAAGCGUGGGGAGCAAACAGGAUUAGAUAGCCGAGUAGUC